rnacentral:rRNA from 1 species
CCUACGGGAGGCAGCAGUGAGGAAUAUUGGUCAAUGGGCGUAAGCCUGAACCAGCCAAGUCGCGUGAGGGAUGAAGGUUCUAUGGAUCGUAAACCUCUUUUAUAAGGGAAUAAAGUGUGGGACGUGUCCUGUUUUGUAUGUAUCUUAUGAAUAAGGAUCGGCUAACUCCGUGCCAGCAGCCGCGGUAAUACGGAGGAUCCGAGCGUUAUCCGGAUUUAUUGGGUUUAAAGGGUGCGUAGGCGGCCUUUUAAGUCAGCGGUGAAAGUCUGUGGCUCAACCAUAGAAUUGCCGUUGAAACUGGGAGGCUUGAGUAUGUUUGAGGCAGGCGGAAUGCGUGGUGUAGCGGUGAAAUGCUUAGAUAGCACGCAGAACCCCGAUUGCGAAGGCAGCCUGCCAAGCCAUGACUGACGCUGAUGCACGAAAGCGUGGGGAUCAAACAGGAUUAGAUACCCCAGUAGUC